CCUACGGGUGGCAGCAGUGAGGAAUAUUGGUCAAUGGGCGCGAGCCUGACCCAGCCACGUCGCGUGAAGGAUGAAUGCCCUACGGGUUGUAAACUUUUUUUAUAAAGGAAUAAAGUGAGGCACGUGUGCCUUUUUGUAUGUACUUUAUGUAUAAGGAUCGGCUAACUCCGUGCCAGCAGCCGCGGUACUACGGAGGAUACGAGCGUUAUCCGGAUUGAUUGGGUGUAAAGGGAACGUAGAUGGGUUGUUAAGUCAGUUGUGAAAUUUUGCGGCUCAACCGUAAAAUUGCCAUUGAUACUGGCAGCCUUGAGUACAGUAGAGGUAAGCGGAAUUCGUGGUGUAGCGGUGAAAUGCGUAGAUAUCAGGAAGAACACCGAUUGCGAAGGCAGCCUACUAGACUGCCACUGACAUUGAGGCGCGAAAGCGUGGGUAGCAAACAGGAUUAGAUACCCGAGUAGUC
rnacentral:rRNA from 1 species